GACGAACGCUGGCGGCGUGCCUAAUACAUGCAAGUAGAACGCUGAAGGAGGAGCUUGCUUCUCUGGAUGAGUUGCGAACGGGUGAGUAACGCGUAGGUAACCUGCCUGGUAGCGGGGGAUAACUAUUGGAAACGAUAGCUAAUACCGCAUAAGAGUAGAUGUUGCAUGACAUUUACUUAAAAGGUGCAAUUGCAUCACUACCAGAUGGACCUGCGUUGUAUUAGCUAGUUGGUGAGGUAACGGCUCACCAAGGCAACGAUACAUAGCCGACCUGAGAGGGUGAUCGGCCACACUGGGACUGAGACACGGCCCAGACUCCUACGGGAGGCAGCAGUAGGGAAUCUUCGGCAAUGGACGGAAGUCUGACCGAGCAACGCCGCGUGAGUGAAGAAGGUGUUCGGAUCGGAAAGCUCUGGUGUGAGAGAAGAACGAGUGUGAGAGUGGAAAGUUCACACUGUGACGGUAUCAUACAAGAAAUGGACGGCUAACUACGU
rnacentral:rRNA from 1 species